rnacentral:rRNA from 1 species
AUGGCCCGUGCCCGCGCACCCUCGUGCUCACCCUGCCACGGUCUGCGCUCCCGUGUGCACCUGCCGGCACUCGCGUGUGCGCGCGCCCACGCGUGGCCUCGUUGCCGCCUGCCGCUAGUUGCUGCUGCCGCGCUUCGGGUCGCUGCUGCUCAUGUCGUUGCUCUGUUGCUACCUCCCACUGCUGCUCGCUACCUGCUACUGCUUUGCACUGCUCCUGCUAUGCGCUGCUCCACUGCUGGUGCUCCUACUGCCCGCUACCACCGGCUGCUACUACUACUACUACUAGCCAUGGUCUUGGCCAUGGCCAUCGAAGUGUGCUGCUGCGUGGUGUGUGUUGUGUGUGUGGCCGGCUGA